rnacentral:rRNA from 1 species
AUUGAACGCUGGCGGAAUGCUUUACACAUGCAAGUCGAACGGCAGCACGGGGCAACCUGGUGGCGAGUGGCGAACGGGUGAGUAAUACAUCGGAACGUGCCCAAUCGUGGGGGAUAACGUAGCGAAAGUUACGCUAAUACCGCAUACGAUCUACGGAUGAAAGCGGGGGAUCGCAAGACCUCGCGCGAGUGGAGCGGCCGAUGUCAGAUUAGGUAGUUGGUGGGGUAAAGGCUCACCAAGCCAACGAUCUGUAGCUGGUCUGAGAGGACGACCAGCCACACUGGAACUGAGACACGGUCCAGACUCCUACGGGAGGCAGCAGUGGGGAAUUUUGGACAAUGGGCGCAAGCCUGAUCCAGCCAUUCCGCGUGCAGGAUGAAGGCCUUCGGGUUGUAAACUGCUUUGUACGGAACGAAACGGCGAGCUCUAAUACAGUUUGCUAAUGACGGUACCGUAAGAAUAAGCACCGGCUAACUACGUGCCAGCCGCCGCGGUAAACCCUCCG